rnacentral:ncRNA from 1 species
ACGAGGGUAAGACCGGUAACUGGGGCUAAGUCGUAACAAGGUAGCCGUACCGGAAGGUGCGGCUGGAACACCUCCUUU